rnacentral:rRNA from 1 species
CCUACGGGAGGCAGCAGUGGGGAAUAUUGGUCAAUGGGCGCUAGCCUGAACCAGCAACGUAGCGUGAAGGAUGACUGCUUUAUGGGUUGUAAACUUCUUUUAUAUGGGAAUAAAGUGUAGUAUGUAUACUGCUUUGCAUGUACCUUAUGAAUAAGGAUCGGCCAACUCCGUGCCGGCAGCCGCAGUCAUUCGGAGGAUCCGAGCGUUAUCCGGAUUUAUUGGGUUUAAAGGGAGCGUAGGCGGGUUGUUAAGUCAGUUGUGAAAGUUUGCGGCUCAACCGUUAAAUUGCAGUUGAUACUGGCAUCCUUGAGUACAGUAGAGGUAGGCGGAAUUCGUGGUGUAGCGGUGAAAUGCUUAGAUAUCACGAAGAACUCCGAUUGCGAAGGCAGCCUGCUGGACUGUAACUGACGCUGAUGCUCGAAAGUGUGGGUAGCAAACAGGAUUAGAUACCCUAGUAGUC